CGCAGGGCCCGUGGGUGGGGCCUGGGGACCCGGCCCUGCCCUCGCGCACCCUCCAGACCCGCCACUUCUUAGCUAGCGAGCGGCCGCCUCCCCGCCCUCCUUUCAGCCACUCGCUCCGCGCAGUCAGCUCUGCUGACUCUUCCGGAGGAUUCUGGAAGGUUCCAGAGGGUGUGCCGCCGAGGCCCUGCGAGAGGGCUUUCCCUGGGGAGAACAUUCCAGAGCAAGCCAGGCCUGGCCGCCCACCAGAGCGCAGCAGCUGCUGGCUCCCUUGCCUCUGUGAGAGGCCGGCUCUCCGCACCCACCUGGGGCUGUCAGUGCCCUGA
rnacentral:lncRNA from 1 species